rnacentral:lncRNA from 1 species
CUUCUUUCUCUCCUUUUUCUUUUGACUGUUAGUUAUAUUUAAUGUUUUUUUUAAAUAUAUAUGUGUGUGUGUAGAUUUUAGGCGUGUCUAUAUGGAGCGGUGAAGAAGCAGGGCAGCGGGACUUCUCCACUGAGAUCCAACAGGCGUGCUGUGAUGGCAAGCGAAACGGGGCGGGUGGGCAGGGAAACCAACAAUUGCAUUCUCAAAUUGUCCGAACCCAGCCGGCUGCUCUGAGGUGGCUGUCAUCGCCGCGAGCGUAGGUUGCAGGAGCCUCCCGGCUGGCGGCAGGUUUAACCAGUAGGAUAGGAUGAGCUGCAAAGACUUGUUGGCUGUCUUUAAUUCAGAGUUAAUGACUACGCUAACCUCUGCAUAAGUUUUAGAAUUAAGAACUUCUGAAUUAUUGACAAACAAGAAGAAGUUGUCAUACUUCAAUUUAACGAGUGUUAUCAACCAUCUGUGUAAGAAAGGGGCUAUAUUACACUCAUCAGUUCAUGUCACAAUGGGUCUACAUAAGAGAGCACAGAAAACACAGAAAGCAAAGGACCUAAGUGGACUGAUUAGAAGAUCCAAAUGUCGCCAGGAAUGACCCACAGAGUGAAUAAUUUGUUUCCCUAGGAACAUAUGGAAUCCACUGACUUCAGGAAAUAUUUUCAGAGUGCACACAUAUUUUUUCAAGACAUUAACAUCCCAGGGGAGGAGGAGGGAUAGAAACAUGACAGGGAGUAAUUUAAAGUGGCAGGCGCAGCAGCGUUCUUUUCCUGCAUUGGAAACCUGAUAUUUGAUACAAAUGUAGAUGAUUUUCUUAUGAUUGCUAUAAAGUUGAUACUGUUCUUUCCAAAAUUCUUGAAGAUUUAUUUUUUCCUCCUCCUUUGUGGAA